GACGAACGCUGGCGGCAUGCCUAAUACAUGCAAGUCGAGCGCAGGAAGCCGUCUGAACCCUUCGGGGGGACGACGGUGGAAUGAGCGGCGGACGGGUGAGUAACACGUAAAGAACCUGCCCAUAGGUCUGGGAUAACCACGAGAAAUCGGGGCUAAUACCGGAUGUGUCAUCGGACCGCAUGGUCCGCUGAUGAAAGGCGCUCCGGCGUCGCCCAUGGAUGGCUUUGCGGUGCAUUAGCUAGUUGGUGGGGUAACGGCCCACCAAGGCGACGAUGCAUGGGCGACCUGAGAGGGUAAGCCGCCACACUGGGACUGAGACACGGCCCAGACUCCUACGGGAGGCAGCAGUAGGUAAUCUUCCACAAUGGACGAAAGUCUGAUGGAGCAACGCCGCGUGAACGAUGAAGGCUUUCGGGUCGUAAAGUUCUGUUGUAAGGGAAGAACAAGUGCCGCAGGCAAUGGCGGCACCUUGACGGUACCUUGCGAGAAAGCCACGGCUAACUACGUGCCAGCCGCCGCAGUAA
rnacentral:rRNA from 1 species